AUUGAACGCUGGCGGCAGGCUUAAUACAUGCAAGUCGAGCGAGCGGCGGACGGGUGAGUAAUGUCUGGGAAACUGCCUGACGGAGGGGGAUAACUACUGGAAACGGUAGAUAAUACCGCAUAACAUCAGAUGUGCCCAGAGGGGAUUAGCUAGUAGGGGGGGUAAUGGCGCACCUAGGCGACGAGCCCUAGCUGGUCUGAGAGGAUGACCAGCCACACUGGAACUGAGACACGGCCCAGACUCCUACGGGAGGCAGCAGUGGGGAAUAUUGCGCAAUGGGCGCAAGCCUGAUUCAGCCAUGCCGCGUGUGUGAAGAAGGCCUUCGGGUUGUAAAGCACUUUCAGCGAGGAGGCGUUACUCGCACAAGAAGCACCGGCUAACUCCGUGCCAGCAGCCGCGGUAAUUC
rnacentral:rRNA from 1 species